GUUUCCUACGGGACGCAGCAGUGAGGAAUAUUGGUCGAUGGGCGCGAGCCUGAACCAGCCAAGUAGCGUGAAGGAUGACUGCCCUACGGGUUGUAAACUUCUUUUAUAAAGGAAUAAAGUGAGGCACGUGUGCCUUUUUGUAUGUACUUUAUGAAUAAGGAUCGGCUAACUCCGUGCCAGCAGCCGCGGUAAUACGGAGGAUCCGAGCGUUAUCCGGAUUUAUUGGGUUUAAAGGGAGCGUAGAUGGGUUGUUAAGUCAGAUGUGAAAUCCUGCGGCUUAACCGCAGAACUGCAUUUGAAACUGU
rnacentral:rRNA from 1 species